GUUGACCUCGGAUCAGAUAGGGAUACCCGCUGAACUUAAGCAUAUCAAUAAGCGGAGGAAAAGAAACCAACCGGGAUUGCUCAGUAACGGCGAGUGAAGCGGCAACAGCUCAAAUUUGAAAUCUGACUCCUUGUGGGGUCCGAGUUGUAAUUUGCAGAGGUGUUUCGGGCGCGGUGCCGGUCUAAGUCCCUUGGAACAGGGCGUCAUAGAGGGUGAGAAUCCCGUCUGCGACUCGGCCGCCAACCCUAUGUGAAACCCCUUCGACGAGUCGAGUUGUUUGGGAAUGCAGCUCAAAAUGGGUGGUAAAUUUCAUCUAAAGCUAAAUACCGGCCAGAGACCGAUAGCGCACAAGUAGAGUGAUCGAAAGAUGAAAAGCACUUUGGAAAGAGAGUUAAACAGUACGUGAAAUUGUUGAAAGGGAAGCGCUUGCGACCAGACCUGUUCCCGGGCGAUCAUCCGUCAUUCGUGGCGGUGCACUCGCCCGGACGCAGGCCAGCAUCGGUUGGGGCGGCGGGACAAAGCGCCUGGGAAUGUAGCUUCUCUCGGGGAGCCUUAUAGCCCGGGUGGCCAUGCCGCCCGCCUCGACCGAGGACCGCGCUUUGGCUAGAUGCUGGCUA
rnacentral:rRNA from 1 species